rnacentral:rRNA from 1 species
AUUGAACGCUGGCGGCAUGCCUUACACAUGCAAGUCGAACGGUAACAGGGAGCUUGCUCCGCUGACGAGUGGCGAACGGGUGAGUAAUGUAUCGGAACGUACCUUUUAGUGGGGGAUAACGUAGCGAAAGUUACGCUAAUACCGCAUAUUCCCUGAGGAGGAAAGCAGGGGACCUUCGGGCCUUGCGCUAAUAGAGCGGCUGAUAUCAGAUUAGCUAGUUGGUGAGGUAAAGGCUCACCAAGGCGACGAUCUAUAGCGGGUCUGAGAGGAUGAUCCGCCACACUGGAACUGAGACACGGUCCAGGCUCCUACGGGAGGCAGCAGUGGGGAAUUUUGGACAAUGGGGGCAACCCUGAUCCAGCCAUGCCGCGUGAGUGAAGAAGGCCUUCGGGUUGUAAAGCUCUUUCGGCCGGGAAAAAAUCGCAUGGGUUAAUACCCUGUGUGGAUGAUGGUACCGGAAUAAGAAGCACCGGCUAACUACGUGCCAGCCGCCGCAGUAA